rnacentral:rRNA from 1 species
UCGUGGAGUGAUUUGUCUUGUUAAUUCAGUUAACGAACGAGACCUUAACCUACUAACUAGGCUAUAGGCCAGCUUUCGGGCUGGUCAGUUUCUUCGGGGUGGUUCGUAUGAGCCAUCUCUUGAAACCUAUAAUAUGGAACUUCACUUUCGGGUGGAGUUUUGCUUCUUAGAGGGACAAUACUUCGUUUAUAUUAGAGUAAGGAAGUUUAAGGCAAUAACA